rnacentral:rRNA from 1 species
ACUGAAACACGGCCCAAACUCCUACGGGAGGCAGCAGUGGGGAAUUUUCCGCAAUGGGCGAAAGCCUGACGGAGCAAUACCGCGUGAGGGAGGAAGGCUCUUGGGUUGUAAACCUCUUUUCUCAGGGAAGAACACAAUGACGGUACCUGAGGAAUCAGCAUCGGCUAACUCCGUGNCAGCAGCCGCGGUAAUACGGAGGAUGCAAGCGUUANCCGGAAUGAUUGGGCGUAAAGCGUCCGCAGGUGGCUGUGUAAGUCUGCUGUCAAGAGCAAGCUCAACUUUGUAAGGCGUGGAACUACCGGCUAGAGUGCGUUCGGGGCAGAGGGAAUCCUGGUGUGCGGUGAAUGCGUAAGAUCAGGAAAACACCGGUGGCGAGGCGCUCUGCUAGGCCCAACUGACACUGAGGAACAAAGCUAGGGAGCGAAGGGAUA